rnacentral:lncRNA from 1 species
AUCUGAUGGUCUGGAGCAGCACCCACACCCACAGGUGAGCAUCUGACAGCCUGGAACAGAACCCACACCUCCAGGUGAGCAUCUGACAGACUGGAACAGCACCCACACCCCUAGGAGAGCAUCCGGCAGCCUGGAGCGGAACCCACACCAACAGGCGAGCAUCUGACAGCCUCGGUCAGCACCCACAAACCCAGGUGAGCAUCUGAUGCUUUGGAGCAGCACCCACACCUUCAGGUGAGCAUCUGACAGCCUGGAACAGA